GACAAAAUACCCCGUCACCCCUGUGCCCCGACUGUCUUGUGUCUGUACCUUGCUUUGAAGCUUUUAAUUUAUUUGAGUAAAUGAAAGUUCGUUUGUCAGUGCAAUGAUUAAUGUUUUCAUCUCAUUUUAUAAUUCACGAUUUUGGUGCUAUAUAUGCUUGUUCACAAUCCAUCCCCUUAUGAUUUACACAUCCGACAUACAUUUUAUUAUUAUAUUUUUAAUAUCAUUUUCAACUACAGAAAUUAACACGUUAGGCAACAGUGCUAGACAGGAAAAUGGACAACUGUAACAACCACCCCAAAUUUACACUAGAAAUAAAAAAAAAAUACGAGAAUCAGUUCUAAAGAUAUAUAAAAGAUACCGGUUCAUAUAAUGAAUAGACAAGUUACAUUUAUUUAGCACUGGCUCCAUGAAAUAACAGCAUUUACUCUGUGCAGAUUGUCAAUGAGGAUCCUCAUAGUUUAUUUUAUCCUAACAGUCGCCGAUGUGAUUUUUAAACUAUUUAUUCCAAACCGUCGUUAAUAUAGUCGGGAACUUUGACACGUAAAUCAUGUUUGGUUUAUAAAGAUAAGAAAUGGAUGUAUCCUGAAUUUGGCACUCUCAGAAUCUUUCAACACCUAACAAACUGUGCAUUUCAGAAAAAAAAAACCGGUAUUUUUAUCAAAACCCUUAUCCUGAUAUCAAUGUUACCGUAACAUUGGGCCCCGAGAAUGUUACCGUAACAUUGGGCCCCGAGAAUGUUACCGUAACAUUAGGCCCCGAGAUUGUUACCGUAACAUUGGGCCCCGAGAUUGUUACCGUAACAUUAGGCCCCGAGAUUGCUUGCGUUCGGAUCGUCUCGGGCAAAGACCUUUGUUGUCUCCAGUGACUUAAUUAAGCCCCCUCCCUCCUCCUCCUCCCCUUGCCAUUUUUUUUCCGAAAUGAAAUCCUAUAAUCGGCUAAGAGUUAACCUGGGAGUGUGUUGUGUCAGUAUUUGUUACAUUUUGUUAUGUAUUUAUUACACAAGCAGUAUUCCUUUCACAUUUCUCCCGCUGUAAUCUCAUUCAACAUUUGUUUAUAUUUAUUUAGAAGUUGAAUUUAUGAAAUGGAAAUAUUUUGAAGGUCUCUAUAUCGUCGCCUCGCUUCCAUGUGCAGGUAUAAGUUUCAUUAACCGGAAGUGACUUUAUUUUGCGCAUGUUCAGCUAAUAUGUAAUCAUGCUUUUAUAGGCAUUUUAUGCAAAUUUAACAACCUGAGGUCCCUUUACAAUCGCAACCUCUCGGGCUUUUCGGAAAGGCCCGAGAAGUUGCGAUUGGUCCCGUUAAUGUCAUGUUUCCAUUUUGUUUUAUAUUUAAUAUGAUUCAAACAUGUUGUUGAUUAAAAAUUGUUAAAAGAAAUUCU
rnacentral:sRNA from 1 species